GCCAGCAUGGCAUAGUGGUUUGAAUGCUGGACUACAAUUCUGGAGACCAGGGUUUGAUUCCCAGCUUGGACA